rnacentral:rRNA from 1 species
UUUGACGUGGGCGAAGCCUGACCGCAAUGCCGCGUGAGUGAUGAAGGCCUUAGGGUUGUAAAGCUCUUUUACCCGGGAUGAUAAUGACAGUACCGGGAGAAUAAGCUCCGGCUAACUCCGUGCCAGCAGCCGCGGUAAUACGGAGGGAGCUAGCGUUGUUCGGAAUUACUGGGCGUAAAGCGCACGUAGGCGGCUUUGUAAGUUAGAGGUGAAAGCCUGGAGCUCAACUCCAGAAUUGCCUUUAAGACUGCAUCGCUUGAAUCCAGGAGAGGUGAGUGGAAUUCCGAGUGUAGAGGUGAAAUUCGUAGAUAUUCGGAAGAACACCAGUGGCGAAGGCGGCUCACUGGACUGGUAUUGACGCUGAGGUGCGAAA